UGAUGAGGUAUGUCAAGUGUUAACCUGAUGAGGUAUGUCACGUGUUAACCUGAUGAGGUAUGUCAUGUGUCAACCUGAUGAGGUAUGUCACGUGUUAACCUGAUGAGGUACGUGUCAACCUGAUGAGGUACGUGUCAACCUGAUGAGGUAUGUCACGUGUUAACCUGAUGAGGUACGUGUCAACCUGAUGAGGUACGUCAUGCGUUAACCUGAUGAGGUAUGUCACGCGUUAACCUGAUGAGGUAUGUCACGUGUCAACCUGAUGAGGUAUGUCACGUGUCAACCUGAUGAGGUAUGUCACGUGUCAACCUGAUGAGGUAUGUCACGUGUUCACCUGAUGAGGUAUGUCACGUGUUAAACUGAUGA